rnacentral:rRNA from 2 species
UACGUAGGGUGCAAGCGUUGUCCGGAUUUAUUGGGCGUAAAGAGCUCGUAGGCGGUUUGUCGCGUCGGAUGUGAAAACCUAUGGCUUAACCAUGGGCCUGCAUUCGAUACGGGCAAACUAGAGUUCGGUAGGGGAGACUGGAACUCCUGGUGUAGCGGUGAAAUGCGCAGAUAUCAGGAAGAACACCGGUGGCGAAGGCGGGUCUCUGGGCCGAUACUGACGCUGAGGAGCGAAAGCGUGGGGAGCAAACAGG